GCAACAGAGUCAUCUGUGGUUGUACAUACACAGCAGUUACCCACACGUGGUCGACUUACCACGGAAAGAAGAAGCAUAUAUAACGAAAAGGUAACAUACAGCAAACUGUUGAGUAAAAUUUCUUCUCGCGAAGUGCAUUAUAUUUAACACACAGUGAAAAAUGGCGCGAAAUAGCGAACUGGAGUUUUCUCGAUAGUGCACUCGAUUUUUUGUUGUUUGGCAACUGCACUUACCUGUAUCGAUUUAUAUUGAGAGCGUGUGCCAAAUGAUAACAAUCUUCUAUGGUGAGAUGAAAAAUGACGAGGGGGUUGUUUUUUACACUGGUGAAAAAAAUGUAAUUUUCUGUGCCAAUCGACCAUUUUUUCUAACACUGACAAAUUUUGACGUUUGUCAAAAAUCAAAAGUAAACGUGCGCGCCACAUAAUAAUACAGGAAAAACCAGAAAAUAAUAAUUAUUUGCGUAAUGAAUAUUUUUCAAAAAUAUUUUCCAUUACUGCAGUUAUAUUGCAAAUUCGAACGUUACAAUAUGGAAAUAUGAAUACGGAGAUGUUUAUAUGAAAAUGAUGAACGAAACUCAAGCCAGUGACAUCUGCCCACAAUGUAGGCGGCUAAGUUUUGCCGCACGCAAGUUGGUUACCAAAAUGCAAAUGAAUUUACAAUUACUGACAUGGGACUUUAAUCAACGAAACGUGAAAAUUUGCUGUGCUGUCAAAAAUCUUACUAGCCCCUGGGCUACUCAAAAAUUAUUCACCACACUUAACGUCAUAUAUUCACUAUUCCUACAACUUUGCUACCAUUCGACACACAGUGUGAGAAGAAGACCUCAGAACUGCAAUUCUGUGACUGAUAACAACAGAAGCUAGGCAUUUGUAUACAAGUGCCCUGGACUGGACCCACCGCAACCAUGUUAUCCGAUGUCCACCCAUUUUGGAUACCCCAGAAUCGCCCCACUCUUCAUAAACCAACUCUGGAUGGAACAGAAAAACAGGGUCACACACACUCAUUAAGGCAGUCACAUUGAGACUGUUCUCGUUCUCAGUGCCCUGGACUGGGCCCACCCCAACCAUGGUAUCCGAUGUCCACCCAUUUUGGAUACCCCAGAAUCGCCCCACUCAUCCCCCUCUACAGCAUGGUGCACUACCCCUUUCUUACCUUAACAACUAAUCCUCCAUUGUGGAAUGAGAACUAGCCGAAGAUGAGUUUCAUUUCAACGUUAUAAAAAUGGUCCAGCCAGUCUUCCUGGAGGAUUGGUCUUCCUAUGGCAAGUCCUGUCCGCCCGUAGGAGUCUUCGUAUGUGUCCCGUAAAUGUAUGUAAGAAGAAAGGGGUACCUGGUGCACUGUCGGCUGGCCAGUGCCUGUGUUGUCAUCCAGUAGUCGGAUAUUCCCACGAUGGGCAGCGGAGGUGGAGAAGCUUUUAUUUUGGCGUUUGGUUUUUGAGUUAUUUCAGUUUUCGGUCGUCUGCAUAGAUUUAAUUUUAUUAAUAGCCUUUGGCUUCAACUCUAUUUGAUUAACAAUUUUUCCUUUUUGGUUUCUUUUUUUAGCAACUUUUCUUCUCUUUCAGUUUUUUUU
rnacentral:sRNA from 1 species